rnacentral:lncRNA from 1 species
UCUAGGCUAAUGUCUUAUGACCAAAUGUUUAAUCUUUCAUUCUUCAUUGUCUUUGUCUCAAAACCACUUCUAAAUGGUCUUGUGCCUUCUUUCACUGCUUUUCCGUGGACAGAAUUAUGUAUCGCACAUAUAGGAUGUAAGUACUGCCUGCUAAUUUCUCAUUAGCAGGGCUCUUAUAUCUUUCUAACUUCUGACAUGGUUUCAUCCCCUCUGGAGAGUGAUCAGCCUUUACAAUAGGACAGCAGAUGGUGGCCAUAAAUACCAGGCCUCCCAUGAAAGCCUUCUUUAUAUUCACUUGUAUUCACAUUCCUGUUUUUGUUUUUGGUUUGUUUUUUUGUUGUUGUCAUUAUUUUGGGUUUUUUUGAAACAGGGUCUCAUAGUCCAAGCUGUCUUGGAGCUCUCCAUGUAGACCAGGCUACCCUUGAAUUCCUAAAGUUUCAGCUGUCUCUGCUUCCCAAAGUCCUGGUAUUAAAGAGGUGCAUCACCACAGCAGACCCAGUUUCCUGUUCCUAAGAUAAGGCUACUGAGAUGCAUGCAUUCCACAACUGGCCUAUGGGCUCAAAAUACUGCCUUCCAAACAAGACAACACUGUUUGGGGCUGUGUGUAAUUCAAGUAUAAUUUUAAUGAAUUUGAAUUUGUAAAUUUUGCAUAACUAUAUAAUAUUGGCCUGGUUCUAUCUAUAUCUACUUUUUGACUUCUUCAAAAAGUAAUGACUAUCUUUCAAAGUAUAAAAUGUACUGAAAAACUAUAUAAGAUGCCUAUGAUGAGAACUUUCACAGAGAGAGAAGGGAACAUCAGUCUACACCAUUAUUACUACUUCGGCUCAUAGUAAUGGAUUUUCAAUCUAUAUAAGUAUUUUCUGCUCCAAGUGAACUAGAAGUUCAAGAUUGUGGACAAGGCUUUUGCACAUCAGAGAUAAUACACUUAACCUAUAAUGUAAACACAAAUUAAAGUUGCCUGCUCUCUCUUAGAAUAAUCCUGAAGCAGUGCUGUUACUUCAGGCACUUUCCUAUCAAUUUAAAUCCUUCAGAGGGGCUGGAACCAGAAGUUGAACAUCUGUCUUGAAGCUUUGAGGCAGCUAGCAGUGCUAAUAUUAUCCUUGUGAAGAAAUCCCUCUUAGUUCAGGAGCCUCUUUUUGCUUCCUUUAGUCAAGCUCGAAGCCUGAGUGGGCAUCCUGAAGCAGCCCAGAUGGUUCGCCGAGAAUUCCAGCUGGAUUUAGAUGAGAUUGAAAAUGAUAAUGGUACAGUCCGCUGUGAAAUGCCAGAGCUUGUCCAGCACAAACUUGAUGACAUUUUUGAACCUGUCCUUAUUCCUGAACCUAAGUAAGUUCAGCUUUCUCAAAUACAAACAGCUUGUGAUCAUUAGAGUCUAUACCUGGAAGUAUGCUGUUGAAAAUUCCUAGAGUUGAUUACUACCUAGUAGUGACCUCUUUACUAAAACCUGGAUCUAGUAAAGAAUUGCAUAAUUCCCACUCAUAUUCAUAUUGAAUUUUUCCUUUUGAUGUGUUGUCUAGGAUCCGGGCUGUUUCUCCACAUUUUGAUGACAUGCACAGUAAUACAGCAUCCACAAUCAAUUUCAUUAUCUCCCAAGUAGCCAGUGGUGACAUCAACACAAGCAUCCAAGCUCUGACACAGGUAAUGGGAAUGCUUCCCACAGUAGUGACUUCACUGACCUCUGUAGAGACUUGUAAGAAUAAUGGAUUAUAUACUAGUAUAAUAACAGUAUUGAAGCACACAGGUAGUGUCCAGUAUUAUCCUGAUUUUUUAAAAAAGGACACAGGGACCACUUGGUUACCAUUUGUAUAAAGUCCCCUGGAACCAGAGUUACAGACAAUUGUGAGCUACCAAAUGGGUGCCAGGAAUCAAACCCAGGUCCUCCGGAAGAGUUGCCAGUGUUCUUAUGUAUGAGCCAUUUGUUCAGUCCCCAGAAGAUAGUUGUUUGUAGCCAUUUUCUGCUUCCUUCCCUAACAGUUCAGUUUAAGUGUAUAUAAACAGGGAAGAGCUAGCUAGGUUUGUGUUUGCUGUGGUGACAAUGAUUGUUAGUGGGGAACCACGUUAGCUCAGAGCCAGGAGAUAAAAGUCCAGUGGAUUACAAGGAAAGUGUUCAUAAAAGAACAUUGACAUGUAGUUGUGUAUCAGUUCUCAAGUAAAGGAUGUCUAUGGGGGGGGCAGGCACCCUGUCAUCGUGUUAAGGCCCCAAGCAAAGCGAGUAGCAUGCAGAGUGGCUCAGAAUGAGGGAUCAUCCAAACAAGAAUGGGGGCAUCAAAAUGGAGAAGGGCUGGAGGCAGAAAUAGAAGAUUGGUCAUAUAGAGACUGGUU